CAGGACUCGCAAGACUCCUAUAACCCUGUGAACUUACUACAAAGCACGUUGCUUCGGCGGGUGUCUCCGGGUGGUUUUUCCCCUCGGAAGCGCUAAGCCCGCCGGCAGCCUACUAAAUUCUGUCUCUUUGCGUUGGCAUCUCGAGUACAAACAAAUAAGUUA
rnacentral:misc_RNA from 2 species